UACAGAGGUCUCAAGCGUUGUUCGGAUUCAUUGGGCGUAAAGGGCGCGUAGGCGGCCGUGUAAGUCACUUGUGAAAUCCCGGGGCUCAACCCCGGGGCUGCAGGUGAGACUGCGUGGCUAGAGCACGGUAGAGGCGAGUGGAAUUCCCGGUGUAGCGGUGGAAUGCGUAGAUAUCGGGAAGAACACCGGUGGCGAAGGCGGCUCGCUGGGCCGUUGCUGACGCUGAGGCGCGAAAGCGUGGGGAGCAAACAGG
rnacentral:rRNA from 1 species